rnacentral:rRNA from 1 species
GAUGAACGCUGGCGGCGUGCUUAACACAUGCAAGUCGAACGAAGCACUUUAUUUGAUUUUCUUCGGAAAUGAAGAUUUUGUGACUGAGUGGCGGACGGGUGAGUAACGCGUGGAUAACCUGCCUCAUACAGGGGGAUAACAGCCGGAAACGGCUGCUAAUACCGCAUAAGCGCACGGUACCGCAUGGUACAGUGUGAAAAACUCCGGUGGUAUGGGAUGGAUCCGCGUCUGAUUAGCCAGUUGGCGGGGUAACGGCCUACCAAGGCGACGAUCAGUAGCCGGACUGGGAGGUUGAACGGCCACAUUGGGACUGAGAUACGGCCCAGACUCCUACGGGAGGCAGCAGUCGGGAAUAUUGCGCAAUGGAGGAAACUCUGACGCAGUGACGCCGCGUAUAGGAAGAAGGUUUUCGGAUUGUAAACUAUUGUCGUGAGGGAAGAAAUUGACAGUACCUCAGGAGGAAGCUCCGGCUAACUAUGUG